rnacentral:lncRNA from 1 species
AAUUACUCAAGACAUCAUAGAUGUUUCGCCAUUACAAACCGCUCAUCAUACCAACUACUUUAAAGAUAGCAGACAUCCAAGAUCACUCAAAAAAUAAAACCAGUAGCAUUUCUGUAUGAGGGUAACAAGAUGGGAUGGAAUAUGAUUCCAGAUCAAACAGCCAAUCCCGCUUCCAAGAACCCAGCAGCAACAAGCAGAUUGACCGAGACUCUAGAUCUUGUUGAAGGCAACAAUGUCACAGCUCUGGACAUACUCGUUGAUGGGCUCCUCGCAGAGGACCUCCUCGAUGAGGGUGUCGACUGACACGAGAUCAUCCACAAUCGUCAACAUGAUCUGCAGCUUCU